rnacentral:misc_RNA from 1 species
UUGAUUCAUUUGUUUUUUGCCUUUCGGCCACUCAGAUAAUGCUGUAAAAACAAUAAGAGUUUGAUACCCCCGGCGACGCCGAAGCGCCGCCGAAGCAACAAGUGGUAAGUUCACAUAGGGUUUGGGAGUUGAAUAAACUCGAUAAUGAUCCCUCCGCUGGUUCACCAACGGAGA